rnacentral:rRNA from 1 species
GACGAACGCUGGCGGCGUGCUUAACACAUGCAAGUCGAACGAGUGGCGAAAGGGUGAGUAACGCAUCGGAACGUACCGAGUAAUGGGGGAUAACUGGCCGAAAGGACAGCUAAUACCGCAUAUUAUUCGAGCGGCCGAUGUCGGAUUCGCUGGUUGGCGGGGUAAAGGCACACCAAGGCGACGAUAGGUAGCGGGUCUGAGAGGAUGCUCCGCCACACUGGGACUGGGACACGGCCCAGACUCCUACGGGAGGCAGCAGUGGGGAAUUUUGGACAAUGGGCGCAAGCCUGAUCCAGCCAUGCCGCGUGUCUGAAGAAGGCCUUCGGGUUGUAAAGGACUUUUGUCAGGGAAGCGGUACCUGAAGAAUAAGCACCGGCUAACUACGUGCCAGCAGCCGCGGUAAUAC